rnacentral:rRNA from 1 species
CGGAGGAAAGAACCCAACAGGGAUUGCCCUAGUAACGGCGAGUGAAGCGGCAACAGCUCAAAUUUGAAAUCUGGCCCCCGGGUCCGAGUUGUAAUUUGUAGAGGAUGCUUUUGGUGCGGUACCUUCCGAGUUCCCUGGAACGGGACGCCAUAGAGGGUGAGAGCCCCGUCUGGUUGGACGCCAAUCCUUUGUAAAGCUCCUUCAACGAGUCGAGUAGUUUGGGAAUGCUGCUCUAAAUGGGAGGUAUAUGUCUUCUAAAGCUAAAUAUUGGCCAGAGACCGAUAGCGCACAAGUAGAGUGAUCGAAAGAUGAAAAGCACUUUGAAAAGAGAGUUAAAAAGUACGUGAAAUUGUUGAAAGGGAAGCGCUCAUGACCAGACUUGGGCUUGGUUGAUCAUCCAGGGUUCUCCCUGGUGCACUCUUCCGGCCCAGGCCAGCAUCAGUUCGCUGUGGGGGAUAAAGGCUUCGGGAAUGUGGCUCCCUCGGGAGUGUUAUAGCCCGUUGUGUAAUACCCUGUGGUGGACUGAGGUUCGCGCAUUCGCAAGGAUGCUGGCGUAAUGGUCAUCAGCGACCCGUCUUGAAACACGGACCAAGGAGUCGUCUUCGUAUGCGAGUGUUCGGGUGUCAAACCCCUACGCGUAAUGAAAGUGAACGCAGGUGAGAGCUUCGGCGCAUCAUCGACCGAUCCUGAUGUUCUCGGAUGGAUUUGAGUAAGAGCAUACGGGGCCGGACCCGAAAGAAGGUGAACUAUGCCUGUAUAGGGUGAAGCCAGAGGAAACUCUGGUGGAGGCUCGCAGCGGUUCUGACGUGCAAAUCGAUCGUCAAAUAUGGGCAUGGGGGCGAAAGACUAAUCGAACCUUCUAGUAGCUGG